GGUUAAGCGACUAAGCGUACACGGUGGAUGCCCUGGCAGUCAGAGGCGAUGAAGGACGUGCUAAUCUGCGAUAAGCGUCGGUAAGGUGAUAUGAACCGUUAUAACCGGCGAUUUCCGAAUGGGGAAACCCAGUGUGAUUCGUCACACUAUCAUUAACUGAAUCCAUAGGUUAAUGAGGCGAACCGGGGGAACUGAAACAUCUAAGUACCCCGAGGAAAAGAAAUCAACCGAGAUUCCCCCAGUAGCGGCGAGCGAACGGGGAGCAGCCCAGAGCCUGAAUCAGUGUGUGUGUUAGUGGAAGCGUCUGGAAAGGCGCGCGAUACAGGGUGACAGCCCCGUACACAAAAAUGCACAUGCUGUGAGCUCGAUGAGUAGGGCGGGACACGUGGUAUCCUGUCUGAAUAUGGGGGGACCAUCCUCCAAGGCUAAAUACUCCUGACUGACCGAUAGUGAACCAGUACCGUGAGGGAAAGGCGAAAAGAACCCCGGCGAGGGGAGUGAAAAAGAACCUGAAACCGUGUACGUACAAGCAGUGGGAGCACGCUUAGGCGUGUGACUGCGUACCUUUUGUAUAAUGGGUCAGCGACUUAUAUUCUGUAGCAAGGUUAACCGAAUAGGGGAGCCGAAGGGAAACCGAGUCUUAACUGGGCGUUAAGUUGCAGGGUAUAGACCCGAAACCCGGUGAUCUAGCCAUGGGCAGGUUGAAGGUUGGGUAACACUAACUGGAGGACCGAACCGACUAAUGUUGAAAAAUUAGCGGAUGACUUGUGGCUGGGGGUGAAAGGCCAAUCAAACCGGGAGAUAGCUGGUUCUCCCCGAAAGCUAUUUAGGUAGCGCCUCGUGAAUUCAUCUCCGGGGGUAGAGCACUGUUUCGGCAAGGGGGUCAUCCCGACUUACCAACCCGAUGCAAACUGCGAAUACCGGAGAAUGUUAUCACGGGAGACACACGGCGGGUGCUAACGUCCGUCGUGAAGAGGGAAACAACCCAGACCGCCAGCUAAGGUCCCAAAGUCAUGGUUAAGUGGGAAACGAUGUGGGAAGGCCCAGACAGCCAGGAUGUUGGCUUAGAAGCAGCCAUCAUUUAAAGAAAGCGUAAUAGCUCACUGGUCGAGUCGGCCUGCGCGGAAGAUGUAACGGGGCUAAACCAUGCACCGAAGCUGCGGCAGCGACGCUUAUGCGUUGUUGGGUAGGGGAGCGUUCUGUAAGCCUGUGAAGGUGUGCUGUGAGGCAUGCUGGAGGUAUCAGAAGUGCGAAUGCUGACAUAAGUAACGAUAAAGCGGGUGAAAAGCCCGCUCGCCGGAAGACCAAGGGUUCCUGUCCAACGUUAAUCGGGGCAGGGUGAGUCGACCCCUAAGGCGAGGCCGAAAGGCGUAGUCGAUGGGAAACAGGUUAAUAUUCCUGUACUUGGUGUUACUGCGAAGGGGGGACGGAGAAGGCUAUGUUGGCCGGGCGACGGUUGUCCCGGUUUAAGCGUGUAGGCUGGUUUUCCAGGCAAAUCCGGAAAAUCAAGGCUGAGGCGUGAUGACGAGGCACUACGGUGCUGAAGCAACAAAUGCCCUGCUUCCAGGAAAAGCCUCUAAGCAUCAGGUAACAUCAAAUCGUACCCCAAACCGACACAGGUGGUCAGGUAGAGAAUACCAAGGCGCUUGAGAGAACUCGGGUGAAGGAACUAGGCAAAAUGGUGCCGUAACUUCGGGAGAAGGCACGCUGAUAUGUAGGUGAAGUCCCUCGCGGAUGGAGCUGAAAUCAGUCGAAGAUACCAGCUGGCUGCAACUGUUUAUUAAAAACACAGCACUGUGCAAACACGAAAGUGGACGUAUACGGUGUGACGCCUGCCCGGUGCCGGAAGGUUAAUUGAUGGGGUUAGCGCAAGCGAAGCUCUUGAUCGAAGCCCCGGUAAACGGCGGCCGUAACUAUAACGGUCCUAAGGUAGCGAAAUUCCUUGUCGGGUAAGUUCCGACCUGCACGAAUGGCGUAAUGAUGGCCAGGCUGUCUCCACCCGAGACUCAGUGAAAUUGAACUCGCUGUGAAGAUGCAGUGUACCCGCGGCAAGACGGAAAGACCCCGUGAACCUUUACUAUAGCUUGACACUGAACAUUGAGCCUUGAUGUGUAGGAUAGGUGGGAGGCUUUGAAGUGUGGACGCCAGUCUGCAUGGAGCCGACCUUGAAAUACCACCCUUUAAUGUUUGAUGUUCUAACGUGGACCCGUAAUCCGGGUUGCGGACAGUGUCUGGUGGGUAGUUUGACUGGGGCGGUCUCCUCCUAAAGAGUAACGGAGGAGCACGAAGGUUGGCUAAUCCUGGUCGGACAUCAGGAGGUUAGUGCAAUGGCAUAAGCCAGCUUGACUGCGAGCGUGACGGCGCGAGCAGGUGCGAAAGCAGGUCAUAGUGAUCCGGUGGUUCUGAAUGGAAGGGCCAUCGCUCAACGGAUAAAAGGUACUCCGGGGAUAACAGGCUGAUACCGCCCAAGAGUUCAUAUCGACGGCGGUGUUUGGCACCUCGAUGUCGGCUCAUCACAUCCUGGGGCUGAAGUAGGUCCCAAGGGUAUGGCUGUUCGCCAUUUAAAGUGGUACGCGAGCUGGGUUUAGAACGUCGUGAGACAGUUCGGUCCCUAUCUGCCGUGGGCGCUGGAGAAUUGAGGGGGGCUGCUCCUAGUACGAGAGGACCGGAGUGGACGCAUCACUGGUGUUCGGGUUGUCAUGCCAAUGGCACUGCCCGGUAGCUAAAUGCGGAAGAGAUAAGUGCUGAAAGCAUCUAAGCACGAAACUUGCCCCGAGAUGAGUUCUCCCUGACUCCUUGAGAGUCCUGAAGGAACGUUGAAGACGACGACGUUGAUAGGCCGGGUGUGUAAGCGCAGCGAUGCGUUGAGCUAACCGGUACUAAUGAACCGUGAGGCUUAACCUU
rnacentral:rRNA from 1 species